rnacentral:lncRNA from 1 species
CUAAACCUCUUUACACGUCAUUUUUAUUCAAACGAAAAGACAAAUUGAAGAAGGUAAUGUUGUAUUUUGUUGAUCUUUCAACUUCCUUCAUAUGAUUCUCUCUCUUCUCCGAUGAAAACCCUAGGUAAAUGUCUCUUCACUUCACAUGUAUUGUUUUAUUUUUCCUUCAAUUCGUUGUUAGUAAUAACCAUUGUUGUAUUUAUGUCGCCAUUUUUCAGGUUUAAGGUUGUAUUGACGAGGUAUCGAGUUGUGCGAUGUUGGAGAAAUUGAAGAAGGUGUAUUUUGUUUUCUACCUUUGCUUUCUACCUUUGUUUUCUACCUUUGUUUUCUUGAAGAAGGUUUAUUUUGUUGUUAA